AUCUGCAGGGCUGUGGCUGCUGAGAAUCCGAGUCCUGGAAGUCAGGUGCAUUUCUCGUGAUUGCUGGAACAAUUCACCUCAGACUCAUGUUGAUUUUCUCGAAACUGGGUGUCAGAAGCCUCAAAUGGGGUCUCAGGUAGUCCAGCCUGACUUCCAGCUCCCUGUGCGGCAAACGAUGACCUUGAACUUCUAAUUCCACUUCCAAGUGCUAGGAUUACAGCUGAGCGCCACGCCUGGCCUUCCUCUGCAUCUUUUCGACACACACGACAGCCUCGUCCAGCUGGUGGUUUUAUACGAAUUUUCAGAGAGGAAGCUGGAGAACAAAAGGGGUACCGAUCCAGGGCUGCGCUAACCGUGCCAGCACCCCAUCCAAGUCUGGGUCGUGGGGCCUCUGCUCCUCAAGAGCGCGGUUCAUCCAGCCAGCGCAAGUCACAUGACAGGAGAGCUUCAAGAAUGGCAACUUCUCUGCCCCUGAAGGGGGCUUGCCAAUCUGCUAGGUGCCUUGGUGUUCCCUGAGCCACCAAAGGGGUGUCUAGGGCCCCAGUCUGUUUAUCAGCUACUGUCCCCAGCUCUGGUUGGGGGCUCAUUCCUUCACCCUCUGAGACAGGGGUCACAGUCAGAGUGACACCUUUGGCUUCAGCAGCUGGCAAGACACAGAAGUUUUAGGUGACUCCCUUGAGUUGGGAGGUCUCUUUUCUUGCCUGGAGCAGAUGCAUUACCCUGGAUCUAUGAAAGAAUAAACCAAAGCUGCACCCUGUCCUCUCCUUUUCCAGUGCUGAGAGCCCCAGGGACACUCUGGAGCUUUCCGCCUCAAGGAAACCAGAGUAAAGGGUUACGUUGUUUACAGGUGUGGGUUAAGAGGGAUGAUUCUGCCUUCUCUACCCUGGCUGUAACCCAGCUCCUUCUCCUGCAUCACCUGGCCUGCCUGGAGACCCAGGGGAAGCUGACAGCUGCCACAGUGAACCUCUGAGAAAGCUCAAAUGGGAAUAAAAACCUAGAACUGCCUGUCUCCCA